rnacentral:tRNA from 1 species
GGGCCGGUGGGGUAGCCUGGCAUCCUUCCACCCUGGGGGGGUGGGCACUUCGGUUCGAGUCCGGGCCGGCCCA